CUCUGGCCUCUUCGAAGCUGUUGUAAAUUAUUUUUCACGUUUAUUGCAGUCAAAAGAUGGCCAAGAGUAAUGAACUCUUCUUUUGGUCACUGAUUGACCACGUGGUCUCUCCGUAUUACCCAAGAAGAUUACAUCU